rnacentral:rRNA from 1 species
UACGGAGGGGGCGAGCGUUGUUCGGAAUUACUGGGCGUAAAGGGCGCGUAGGCGGACGAUCAAGUCAGGGGUGAAAGGCCUGGGCUCAACCCGGGGACUGCCUUUGAAACUGAACGUCUAGAGUCCGGGAGAGGAUGGCGGAAUUCCCAGUGUAGAGGUGAAAUUCGUAGAUAUUGGGAAGAACACCGGUUGCGAAGGCGGCCAUCUGGACCGGCACUGACGCUGAGGCGCGAAAGCGUGGGGAGCAAACAGG